CCCUUCCAAUCAGAAUUGUACGACUUCCUUGCAGCCAUUGCUCCCUUGCGCCUGUCACCUAAAGUCGCCCAUUGCUUAUUAUCCCAGAGAGGAAUAUGAAGAGUUCUUUUCACAUGGUGUAGUCCAGUGCACAGUGAAGUAUCGAUGCAAAGUGCAGGGUGAAAACAAAUGGGUUUGAAAGUGGGACACAGAGAUUUAAAAUUAGCCAAUCCAGAAGACGCCUGGGCUUACACUCUGAUUGACCACCAAGCAGUUGACAGACCCACAAAGAAAAACAUGAAUCUCAGAGUAUGCGAAGUGUUUCACAUAGGUGUCAAGUCUCAAGGGUCGGCUGAGAAAGCCCACG